GAUGAACGCUGGCGGCGUGCCUAAUACAUGCAAGUCGAGCGAACGGAUGAGAAGCUUGCUUCUCUGAUGUUAGCGACGGACGGGUGAGUAACACGUGGAUAACCUACCUAUAAGACUGGGAUAACUUCGGGAAACCGGAGCUAAUACCGGAUAAUAUUUUGAACCGCAUGGUUCAAAAGUGAAAGACGGUCUUGCUGUCACUUAUAGAUGGAUCCGCGCUGCAUUAGCUAGUUGGUAAGGUAACGGCUUACCAAGGCAACGAUGCAUAGCCGACCUGAGAGGGUGAUCGGCCACACUGGAACUGAGACACGGUCCAGACUCCUACGGGAGGCAGCAGUAGGGAAUCUUCCGCAAUGGGCGAAAGCCUGACGGAGCAACGCCGCGUGAGUGAUGAAGGUCUUCGGAUCGUAAAACUCUGUUAUUAGGGAAGAACAUAUGUGUAAGUAACUGUGCACAUCUUGACGGUACCUAAUCAGAAAGCCACGGCUAACUACGUG
rnacentral:rRNA from 1 species